ACCUAUGCAUUAGAUAAGAUCUCUUUCUUCAGUUUGAACCUAUUGGGUGAAAAUCCUAUGCGGAUGUUUUGUUUGUAAAGGAUGUCUGAUGCACUCUCUUGUUGAUGGUUUUACCUGCUCUCGAGGGUCUCAGGAUUUUGAUUUUAACUGCCUUUUGUUGUUUUCUGCUAUUAAUGUAUUGUGUAAUUGACUUGUUUGUUCUACAUAUGUUGUGUAGUUUUAGAUUUCCAGAUUGUAGGGUAAGAGUCUAUGGUGGCGACACUCCAUUGCCAUCACCUCAGUGGAGACCUAAAGAUUGUAACUGACGUCAAUGUGCUGCCAGAGUUGUGAAGGGAUAUAACAGCCCAACUUACCUAAUCGGGGCUCUAAUUCGCGCAACAUGAUGAGAAUUGGCGUCUAAUCAUCAGACACUGCUAGCGUCAAAACUUCAUUUCAGGCUAAUGUUACUAGGCAAUGAGAAAAGGUGAAAAACUCGAUGUUCAAUUCACUGGCAUGUCUGGUAACUGAAUAUAAAUUCAAAUUUUCGUACAUUAUAAUGCCUCAGAAGACAAGGGCGGAUAUCGGCAGGGAUGCUCUCCUCUCCCUUCUGAGUGACUGAUAUUCGAAAAGCUUGAUUGCCUGUAUGUAUGACUGAUUUUCGAAAAGUUUGAUUUCCUGUAUGUACAUCAGAAUGGUGACGAAAUGGAGACAGAUAAAGAAAGCUUCAAGAUAAUACAAACGGAAGGAAACACCUAUGCAAUGAGUGAAAUAAAGAUGACCGGCCCCCUUUAAGAAGGGUGAGGAACUUCAAAUUUUUUGGCUUGCACUUAAAAUAAAGAUGAGUCCAGGCAAAAUGUACUAAUGCGUGAAAUGAGGCAAAAUAUUUCCUGCACUCAACGGAGAAGGAAUUCAAGCAACAAUGCGUUUCUGAAGGGCAUUUUUCCACUAAUUAUUGACCCUUAGAACUUGAAACAGCAGCAAACCUCUGGUACUCGUCAAAAAUAGAAGUUAAGCACCAUCUUUGAAGCUUUCUCAAGCAUCCAACAAGACAUCCAGUUCGGUGCUGCACAAAUAAUUAAAACAGCAUUAGAAAAAUGAACUCUUAUAGGAGGAAAGCAAAAGGUAAAAGAAAUACCUUCCCACGUUUGCAAUGCAUUAGGAGGGGCCGGUUCUUUUCAUCUAAACGGUGAACGUUCAAAACAAAAGUUAGUAUAUGAUAGUGCAAAGACACAAACGCCUGUCCUACGAGAGAAUUGAGCGCUGAUUUUGUGUACCUAAGACAAUUUCCAAUGCUUCACGAAUCGAAUCCUCAGGGAUGUUUACAAAUGGUUCCUGUGCAAAGUAUUGUUAAAGCUUUAAAACAAGCCUCUGUAUGCACCGUGGAGAAAGAUGUCACUGUAUAAGAACCCUCAAGAGUUCCUACUUAACAGCAGACAACAUGUUAAAGCUUUGGAAACCUAUCUGUGACUUGAUGCUGACCUCUCCAAAUCCCAUUGCUUUGUAUAUCACAUUAGCAACUUAUAUUUCAUUUGAUAUUAGCUUUUGUAAGUCAAUGAUAUAAUUCAGUCCAAAUCAUCUGGACAAGGAUGCACUCCAGAACUUUCCAACAGAUUUUUACGAGUCAUAAACAAGUAUUAUUUUGUCAAACCCGUGCUAACGGAAUACUCUGGUUCCAGUCACCUAUACUGAUGGAAGUUUAUCCAAGCCAACUUCAGUGUACAGGCUAACAUCUAUACAUGCUGGUUUGGUACCAGUAAAUCAAAGAAAAGAUCGCAAAUCUUUUGGCGUACAGCAGACAACCAACUUAACAAAAUAUAUAUACAUAUAUAUAUAUAUAUAUAUAAUCUUGCUGACUUUUCCUCCUAUAUUAAAUUAGAUAAAGUUAAUAGUAAACCAUGAUAUUCUGGAAGAGUAGAACCCUAUAUGUGACGGACUAUGUAAAUCUUAAGUGAAUAACAUGAUUGGGUUUUGUACAUCAUAAGGCAAUUGCUGUUAGUCUCCACCGGAGGAAAGAGGGAGACACGGGUAGAUAUACGUAUGCCUACAGUCUAACCUUCUAAAGUAAUACCUUGAGAAAAAUGCCUCUCUCAUUGCUCUACAACUUCUACAAGAGAGGCAUCUGUACAUACCUGGGUCUUAACGUACAAUGAGUCAUUUGCGAAAUUCAAGCAAUUUACCCUGCUGAUUUUGAAGGAAAUCGUCGUUUCAUAUCACCAAGACAAUGAGAAGAGAUGAACCAUUAGAUGAUGUUAAGGUAGCUUUAUAGAACCCAAACUUUUAAGUAGAUCAAGAAGUUAACUCGUCUGUCAAAGCAUUAUCAAAAUUUCUUUAGCUCCUCUAAAAACACGACCAUAAUUCAGCACUAGCUCCUCUGAAACAUGAUGAAUAUGUGAUCACUGAAAUAAAUAAUUAACCAAAGAUUUUUAAAAUACCUUCCCAACCUCAAACCACCGUAUUACUCCUAAAACUGUCUUGAAUGAAUUAAAGAGAAAAACUGAAACAUAAUAUAGCCUUUUUUUUUCCUUUUAAACAAACAAGUUGAGCACCUAAAAUUUAGAGAUUUUUCCUUCCUCAGGAAUCUAAUUGAUAGCACCUUCAUCAGUGUAGCCUCCAAUACCUAGCCCCUAGCAUCCUUUCUUUCUCCCAAUCCAAACGACCAGCAAAUUAACUCAAAAACGUACAUCAACUUCCAGUAAAAGCGCUAAUUUACACUACCAGCACAUGCAUACGCGCGCUCACGGACACACACACAC